rnacentral:rRNA from 1 species
UACGGGGGGGGCAAGCGUUGUUCGGAAUUACUGGGCGUAAAGGGCUCGUAGGCGGCCAACUAAGUCGGAUGUGAAAUCCCCAGGCUUAACCUGGGAACUGCAUCCGAUACUGGAUGGCUUGAAUCCGGGAGAGGGAUGCAGAAUUCCAGGUGUAGCGGUGAGAUGCGUAGAUAUCUGGAGGAAUACCGGUGGCGAAGGCGGCAUCCUGGACCGGCAUUGACGCUGAGGAGCGAAAGCUAGGGGAGCAAACGGG